UACGUAGGGUGCAAGCGUUGUCCGGAAUUAUUGGGCGUAAAGAGCUCGUAGGCGGUUUGUCGCGUCGAAUGUGAAAACCCGGGGCUCAACCCCGGGCCUGCAUUCGAUACGGGCAGACUAGAGGUAUGCAGGGGAGAAUGGAAUUCCUGGUGUAGCGGUGAAAUGCGCAGAUAUCAGGAGGAACACCGGUGGCGAAGGCGGUUCUCUGGGCAUGUCCUGACGCUGAGGAGCGAAAGUGUGGGGAGCGAACAGG
rnacentral:rRNA from 1 species